rnacentral:rRNA from 1 species
UACGUAGGGUGCAAGCGUUAAUCGGAAUUACUGGGCGUAAAGCGUGCGCAGGCGGUUUGGUAAGACAGAUGUGAAAUCCCUGGGCUCAACCUAGGAAUUGCAUUUGUGACUGCCCGACUAGAGUGUGUCAGAGGGGGGUAGAAUUCCACGUGUAGCAGUGAAAUGCGUAGAGAUGUGGAGGAAUACCGAUGGCGAAGGCAGCCCCCUGGGCCAAUACUGACGCUCAUGCACGAAAGCGUGGGGAGCAAACAGG